rnacentral:rRNA from 1 species
AAGUUCUAAAUUCAUCUUAAUUGAUGAGUGGUAGGGGAGCAUUGAAAACUGCAUUGAAGGUGAUGGGCGACCAUUGCUGGAGCGUUUUCAAAAGAAAAUGUAGGCAUAAGUAACGAUAAUUAAAGUGAAAAACUUUAACGCCGAAAGUCUAAGGUUUCCUGAUCAACGUUAAUCGGAUCAGGGUUAGUCCGGUCCUUAGGAAAACCCGAAAGGGGCAUCUGAUGGAAAGUGAGUUAAUAUUCUUACACCUGCAUUACAAUAAAAGUGACGCAGGGACGUGGUGGUUGCGUACUUACGGAAUAGUACGCCUGAGAGGAACCUUCGGGGGAAUCGAAACCAUAAAAUCCCUGCCAAGAAAAGCGAGUAAUGCAGCCGGUACCGCAAACCGACACAGGUAGACGGGAUGAGUAUUCUAAGGCGCUCGGGUGAGCCGUGGAGAAGGAACUAGGCAAAUUGACGCUGUAACUUCGGGAUAAAGCGUACCAUAGCGAUAUGGUCUCAGUAAAAUGGUUCAACCAACUGUUUAACAAAAACACAGGGCCCUGCAAAAUCGAAAGAUGACGUAUAGAGCCUGAUACCUGCCCGGUGCCGGAAGGUUAAGGAAGGAUGUUCGGAGUAAUCCAAAGCUUCUGACUGAAGCCCCGGUAAACGGCGGCCGUAACGAUAACGGUCCUAAGGUAGCGAAAUUCCUUGUCGGGUAAGUUCCGACCUGCACGAAUGGUCUAAUGAGUUGAACACUGUCUCCUCCACGAGCCCGGUGAAAUUGUAGUAUCGGUGAAGAUGCCGGUUACCCGCCACGGGACGGAAAGACCCCGUGAACCUUCACUACAACUUUGCAUUGAUUUUGAUUACGGAUGUGUAGAAUAGUUGGGACACUUUGAAGCAGUGGCGCUAGCCAUUGUGGAGUGGUCGUUGAAAUACCAACCUUCUUUGAUUUAGAGUCUAACCCCUUGCGGGGAACAGUGCAUGGUGGGUAGUUUGACUGGGGUGGUCGCCUCCUAAAGUGUAACGGAGGCUUGCAAAGGUACCCUCAGUACGGUUGGUAAUCGUACGAAGAGCGCAUUAGUAUAAGGGUGCUUGACUGUGAGGCAUACAGGCCGAGCAGGAGCGAAAGCUGGCUAAAGUGAUCCGGCGGUUCUGCAUGGAAGGGCCGUCGCUCAAAGGAUAAAAGGUACUCCGGGGAUAACAGGCUGAUCUCCCCCAAGAGCUCAUAUCGACGGGGAGGUUUGGCACCUCGAUGUCGGUUCGUCACAUCCUGGGGCUGGAGAAGGUCCCAAGGGUUCGGCUGUUCGCCGAUUAAAGUGGCACGUGAACUGGGUUCAGAACGUCGCAAGACAGUUCGGUCCCUAUCUGUGGUGGGCGAGAAAAUUGAGUGGACAUGACCUUAGUACGAGAGGACCGGGUCGUACGUACCGCUGGUGUAUCGUUGUGCCGCCAGGUGCAGUGCGAGUAGCUAUGUACGGACAGGAUAAACGCUGAAAGCAUCUAAGCGUGAAACCUUCCACAAGAUGAGUUUUCUUUUAAGGGUCGUCAGAGACUAUGACGUUGAUAGGCUACAGGUAUAAAACUGGUAACAGUAAA